rnacentral:rRNA from 1 species
CCUACGGGGGGCUGCAGUGGGGAAUAUUGCACAAUGGGCGCAAGCCUGAUGCAGCCAUGCCGCGUGUGUGAAGAAGGCCUUCGGGUUGUAAAGCACUUUCAGCGGGGAGGAAGGCGGUGAGGUUAAUAACCUCAUCGAUUGACGUUACCCGCAGAAGAAGCACCGGCUAACUCCGUGCCAGCAGCCGCGGUAAUACGGAGGGCGCAAGCGUUAAUCGGAAUUACUGGGCGUAAAGCGCACGCAGGCGGUCUGUCAAGUCGGAUGUGAAAUCCCCGGGCUCAACCUGGGAACUGCAUUCGAAACUGGCAGGCUAGAGUCUUGUAGAGGGGGGUAGAAUUCCAGGUGUAGCGGUGAAAUGCGUAGAGAUCUGGAGGAAUACCGGUGGCGAAGGCGGCCCCCUGGACAAAGACUGACGCUCAGGUGCGAAAGCGUGGGGAGCAAACAGGAUUAGAUACCCCAGUAGUC